AUGCUGGAGGUAUCAGAAGUGCGAAUGCUGACAUAAGUAACGAUAAAGCGGGUGAAAAGCCCGCUCGCCGGAAGACCAAGGGUUCCUGUCCAACGUUAAUCGGGGCAGGGUGAGUCGACCCCUAAGGCGAGGCCGAAAGGCGUAGUCGAUGGGAAACAGGUUAAUAUUCCUGUACUUGGUGUUACUGCGAAGGGGGGACGGAGAAGGCUAUGUUGGCCGGGCGACGGUUGUCCCGGUUUAAGCGUGUAGGCUGGUUUUCCAGGCAAAUCCGGAAAAUCAAGGCUGAGGCGUGAUGACGAGGCACUACGGUGCUGAAGCAACAAAUGCCCUGCUUCCAGGAAAAGCCUCUAAGCAUCAGGUAACAUCAAAUCGUACCCCAAACCGACACAGGUGGUCAGGUAGAGAAUACCAAGGCGCUUGAGAGAACUCGGGUGAAGGAACUAGGCAAAAUGGUGCCGUAACUUCGGGAGAAGGCACGCUGAUAUGUAGGUGAAGCGACUUGCUCGUGGAGCUGAAAUCAGUCGAAGAUACCAGCUGGCUGCAACUGUUUAUUAAAAACACAGCACUGUGCAAACACGAAAGUGGACGUAUACGGUGUGACGCCUGCCCGGUGCCGGAAGGUUAAUUGAUGGGGUUAGCG
rnacentral:rRNA from 1 species